UCUUAGUUGCCAGCGAGUAAUGUCGGGGACUCUAAGGAGACUGCCGGUGCAAACCGUGAGGAAGGUGGGGAUGACGUCAGGUCAGCACGGCCCUUACGUCCAGGGCUACACACGUGCUACAAUGGCAGGUACAGAGGGCAGCUACAUAGCGAUAUGAUGCGAAUCUUCAAAGCCUGUCUCAGUUCGGAUCGAAGUCUGAAACUCGACUUCGUGAAGCUGGAAUCGCUAGUAAUCG
rnacentral:rRNA from 1 species